UACUCCUACGGGAGGCAGCAGUGGGGAAUUUUGCGCAAUGGACGAGAGUCUGACGCAGCAACGCCGCGUGGGUGAUGAAGGUCUUCGGACUGUAAAACCCUGUCGUCAGGGACGAAGGUGCGCGUGUUAAUAGCAUGCGUGCUUGACGGUACCUGGAGAGGAAGCCCCGGCUAACUCUGUGCCAGCAGCCGCGGUAAUACAGAGGGGGCAAGCGUUAUUCGGAAUUAUUGGGCGUAAAGGGCGCGUAGGCGGUUUUUUAAGUCAGAUGUGUAAUCCCCGGGCUCAACUUGGGAACUGCAUCUGAGACUGGAAGGCUAGAGUACUGGAGAGGGUGGUGGAAUUCCUCGUGUAGCGGCGAAAUGCGUAGAGAUGAGGAGGAACACCAGUGGCGAAGGCGGCCACCUGGACAGUAAC
rnacentral:rRNA from 1 species